rnacentral:rRNA from 1 species
AGCUAUAUGAUAUUAUAUAUAGUUCCUUCUGCUCAAUGGGAUACUAAAUAGCCGCAGUACCCUGACUGUGCAAAGGUAGCAUAAUAAUUUGGCUUAUAAUUGAAGUCUGGUAUGAAAGAAAAUAUGGUUAACAGCUGUCUUCUUCGGUAUAUAUAGAAAUUAUUUAAUAGAUGAAAAUAUCUAUAUGAUUAUAAUAGACGAGAAGACCCUAGAAAUUUUAAUAUAAAUGUGUUGGUUUACACUUAUUAUUUUGUUGGGGCGACAGAAUAACAAUAAACUUGUUUUAAAAAAUUUGAACUUGUUUUUGAGAUAAUAUAAAUUACUCUAGGGAUAACAGCAUAAUGUAAUAAAGUUUGUGACCUCGAUGUUGGACUAGGGUUUUUAAUGACCAGAAGUUAUUAAAUAAGGCUCUGUUCGAGCUUCUUUCCU